rnacentral:rRNA from 1 species
AUUGAACGCUGGCGGAAUGCUUUACACAUGCAAGUCGAACGGCAGCACGGGUGCUUGCACCUGGUGGCGAGUGGCGAACGGGUGAGUAAUACAUCGGAACGUACCCAGUCGUGGGGGAUAACGUAGCGAAAGUUACGCUAAUACCGCAUACGUCCUGAGGGAGAAAGCGGGGGACCGUAAGGCCUCGCGCGAUUGGAGCGGCCGAUGGCGGAUUAGCUAGUUGGUGGGGUAAAGGCCUACCAAGGCGACGAUCCGUAGCGGGUCUGAGAGGACGGCCCGCCACAAUGGAACUGAGACACGGUCCAGCCUCCUACGGGAGGCAGCAGUGGGGAAUUUUGGACAAUGGGCGAAAGCCUGAUCUAGCCAUUCCGCGUGAGUGAAGAAGGCCUUCGGGUUGUAGAGCUCUUUCGGCAGGGAAGAAACGGCUUGGGAUAAUACCCCGGGCUAAUGACGGUACCUGAAGAAGAAGCACCGGCUAACUACGUGCCAGCCGCCGCCGUAA